ACGGAGGAUGCGAGCGUUAUCCGGAUUUAUUGGGUUUAAAGGGAGCGUAGAUGGGCUGUUAAGUCAGUUGUGAAAGUCAGCGGCUCAACCGUUGAACUGCAAUUGAAACUGGGAGCCUUGAGUGCGUUUGCGGUGGAUGGAAUUCGUGGUGUAGCGGUGAAAUGCUUAGAUAUCACGAAGAACUCCGAUUGCGAAGGCAGUCCACCAAGCCGCAACUGACAUUGAAGCUCGAAAGCGUGGGUAUCAAACAG
rnacentral:rRNA from 1 species